GUGGGGAAUAUUGCACAAUGGGGGAAACCCUGAUGCAGCAACGCCGCGUGAAGGAAGAAGUAUUUCGGUAUGUAAACUUCUAUCGACAGGGAAGAAAAAAAUGACGGUACCUGAAUAAGAAGCCCCGGCUAAUUACGUGCCAGCAGCCGCGGUAAUACGUAAGGGGCAAGCGUUAUCCGGAUUUACUGGGUGUAAAGGGUGAGUAGGCGGUUCGGCAAGUCAUAUGUGAAAUUCUGAGGCUUAACCUCAGUGCUGCAUAAGAAACUGUCGGACUAGAGUGCAGGAGAGGCAAGCGGAAUUCCUAGUGUAGCGGUGAAAUGCGUAGAUAUUAGGAAGAACACCGGUGGCGAAGGCGGCUUGCUGGACUGUAACUGACGCUGAGUCACGAAAGCGUGGGGAGCGAACAGGAUUAGAAACCCUAGUAGUCC
rnacentral:rRNA from 1 species